ACUGGUUUUGUAAAGAUGAGUUAGACUCAACUCAAAACCUACUAAUAGAAAUUAGUAACAUACCAAUAAUUACUUUAUUCACCUGAAAAUUACAAGAAACAUAAAGGAUGAUUGGAAGGCUGUGGUGGUAUGUUAAAAAUUUGUCCUGACACCAGUAAUAUAAAUAAAAAAUGAGGGUUGCUGUAAACUGUAUGUGCAUUCCUAGGUUUCAAAC
rnacentral:lncRNA from 1 species